UAUGCUCAAAUCAUGCCGAGAACACUGGUUCUCAUUUGAUCCCCAAAGUUAAGCAGCAUCAAGCCCAGUCAGUACUUAGAUGGUGGCCUGCUUGGAAACAUCCAGUACUGUAA